AGAGUUUGAUCCUGGCUCAGGACGAACGCUGGCGGCGUGCCUAACACAUGCAAGUCGAACGGACGAGGAGGAGCUUGCUUCUCCAAGUCAGUGGCGGACGGGUGAGUAACGCGUGAGUAACCUGCCCUUCAGAGGGGGAUAACGUCUGGAAACGGACGCUAAUACCGCAUGACAUAUUUCCAUCGCAUGGUGGAGAUAUCAAAGGAGCAAUCCGCUGAAGGAUGGACUCGCGUCCGAUUAGAUAGUUGGCGGGGUAACGGCCCACCAAGUCGACGAUCGGUAGCCGGACUGAGAGGUUGAACGGCCACAUUGGGACUGAGACACGGCCCAGACUCCUACGGGAGGCAGCAGUGGGGAAUAUUGCACAAUGGGGGAAACCCUGAUGCAGCGACGCCGCGUGGAGGAAGAAGGUCUUCGGAUUGUAAACUCCUGUUGUUGAGGAAGAUAAUGACGGUACUCAACAAGGAAGUGACGGCUAACUACGUGCCAGCAGCCGCGGUAAAACGUAGGUCACAAGCGUUGUCCGGAAUUACUGGGUGUAAAGGGAGCGCAGGCGGGAGAACAAGUUGGAAGUGAAAUCCAUGGGCUCAACCCAUGAACUGCUUUCAAAACUGUUUUUCUUGAGUAGUGCAGAGGUAGGCGGAAUUCCCGGUGUAGCGGUGGAAUGCGUAGAUAUCGGGAGGAACACCAGUGGCGAAGGCGGCCUACUGGGCACCAACUGACGCUGAGGCUCGAAAGUGUGGGUAGCAAACAGGAUUAGAUACCCUGGUAGUCCACACCGUAAACGAUGAUUACUAGGUGUUGGAGGAUUGACCCCUUCAGUGCCGCAGUUAACACAAUAAGUAAUCCACCUGGGGAGUACGACCGCAAGGUUGAAACUCAAAGGAAU
rnacentral:rRNA from 1 species